UUAUGAUUUUUAAUAAGAGUGAAUAAUUUUGUCUCCAAGCUAUAUGAUUGUCGAGUUUUAAUUGCGCUUAAUGAGAUACGAAACACACGUGGAACAGAUGCGCGCGAUUCGUACGAAACGUCUCGCUGCAUUUCCUGGGGAGAAUUCUAGCUGGUUCAAUGGGAACGACGGUUAAGAAAGGACACAAAAAAAAACAUCGAUGCAAGGUCAAAGGAUAUAUAACGAAUCAAAUGAAUCCCUUUCGACCGUUUGAGUAAUGUCGAAAACUCAUCGCGAGAGAAAGAGAGAGAGAGAGAGAGAGAGAGAGAGAGAGAGAGACUUCUUCCCUUUAUUUUAAGAAGAAAUAAUCUUUCAACAUUUAUUGCGUUUCUUAUGAGAUGCUCAAGGAGAUUUCAAAACGAAAAUUUUUUUUAUAAAUAAAUGCAUUUAAAAAUACCUUUAAAAAUAUUUUUCCUAUCGAUAUAUUAUGUAAUUAUUAAAAAAAAAAUAAUUUUUAAUGAAAUUGUUUAAAAAAAUUAUAUAAUGUAUCAGAGGGAAAAAACAUAUAUAGUUCUUCAGUAUUGUUCUUCAGGAUAAAUUUAUUUAAGAUGGUAUCUCGGUCUAUCCGCCCCUUCCUGUUUCCUUUUUACGAGCUUGGCUAAUCUCUUCACCACAUCCUGUGGGUGGAAUGUGCAUCGUGUUUGUUAUAAAGUUCUCCGUUCGAACUUGAAAAUCGUCAGUCCACGCCUUUCGUUGCUCGCGACAUUUUUCCGCAAGUAUCCCCUCGCUGAUCCGGAAAAUUGUGAUAACAUAAGUAAUAUUAAUUGAAGUGUGCUUCGUCAUAUAAUCUAACAAUGGACUCUAAAGUGUUCUGCUUGAAGAAUGGAAUAUUUAUGAUAAAAAAAGUGUGCCAAGCAGUGUGUUAGUGAAGAUGUUCUAUUGGGGUGAUGACUAGAGCCGCAAGUCAGAAGUCUUGACGAGUCAUUCCAAGUACCUGAAUCAGACUGUCGACGCGCGCAAGCAAUAUAGAUAUUUUCUAUGCUUUAUAAAAGAAUUCUAUUACCUCAAAACUACUUUGUCCACUAAUCUGGCUGUCUUUUUCUUCAGAUUACUGACAUGGGUAGUAGCCUAUUAUCCGUGUGAUCGCAAACAAGUGUUAAUUUGUAAACCUACUUAUACUUGUAACAUUGACUUAUCGUAUAAUUUUCGUUCUCUUUAGAUGUACAAUCUUUGUCAAGUUCUUAAUAUUCUUAGAAAAAUAAUUUUCUUCAAUUUCUAAAAGCGCAAACAAUUAGAAAUGAAUCCGAAUCAAAAUUAACAGAACACGCGGUUCAAAGGAGAAACCUAAUCUGACUUUAAUUAAAUGAAUUAAUUAAAUAAUUCUGUUACAUUGCCACAGCUGAGAUUUGUCAAUAAUUUUAUUUGCGUUAUUUCUUGAGCAUAUUGAUUGUCAAAAUUGGUGCUGCAAGCAAGAUGAUGGCUGUACGGAGAUCUUUAUUUCUCCCCAAUUGAAAGAAGAGACAAGAUUAUUAUCGAACAAUUACGUUGCGGCUCUUCAUCGGGCACUUUGCUUUUUUAAAUGCGAGCUGCCUUUUGAAGGGCAACAUCGUGGUCGAUUGUAUUCAUCCAUGGAAAAUUAUGACAAAACGCUUAUAUUUUAUUAAAUACUAAUUAUCCGUAAAAACAUUUUUACACAUUUCAUUUUUUUUUCUUUUUAGAUCGAUUAAAACAAAAUAUGUCUUUUACUUUUUCGUUAAAUUAAGAUUAUAUAAAAAUCAGGAAAAUGUAUUUGCAUUUGUAUUUGCAUUAUUUUAGUCUGACUAUCAAAGCAUUCUUUAUCUGUAAAUAUAAAUAUAAAUUUCUACGGUAAGUUUCGUAAAUUAUUCGCUGUAAAAAAUUCUCUUUCCAUAGCGGAUAGUAUUUUUUAUUAAAUUGUUUGAUACACAACCAUAUUUUGGUGCGACAUAACGUAGGAGUGUUAAUUAAUAUUUCUUCGUCAAAAUCAAAGUUCGAUAUUAGUGUUAUGAUUUUUCUAUGCACGAUUUUAUAAAUUAUAGCAAUGUGUAUGUUGCUCCAAUUUUGCAAUGGGUCAAUUAUCGUGUCGCUUUCGCACGAUUUUAUUUCUUAUGAAUCUUUUAGUCACGAUUCUAAAUUGAGUGUAUUAUUUUAUUUCAUUCUCCCGUUAUAAUGCAAUGAACUCUUAGUAAUUAUAUAUAUAAGUCUCAGCAAUUUGCAUACACAUACACAUUUCUUUCAUAAAAAUGAUAAUUAUUCUAAUGUGAUAAAUAUAAAUUAUGCUACUUUGCCUGUAGAUCGAUGUGUAUAACUAUGUGUAUAACACUGAUUAACUUUAAUGCGUGACAAUAACAAUAAUAUUAAUAUAAUAUUAUAACACACAUAGAUAUAUAAUAAUUAUAUUCAGGUAACUUUAAGGACGUUAUUAAUAUCUAACAAUAAGAUAAAAGCAACAUGUAAUUUGAUUGUACGAUUGUACGAGUUUAUAAGAAUGGAUGAUAGCCAAGUUAAGAUUCUGCAUAUUCUUAUACACAAAUUAACGUUAAUUAAAAAAUUUAUCAAUACUA